rnacentral:rRNA from 1 species
AUUGAACGCUGGCGGCAGGCCUAACACAUGCAAGUCGAGCGAGCGGCGGACGGGUGAGUAAUGUAUGGGGACUGCCCGAUAGAGGGGGAUAACUAAUGGAAACGGUAGCUAAUACCGCAUACUAUCGGAUAACCCUUAUGGGAUUAUCUAGUAGGUGGGGUAAUGGCUCACCUAGGCGACGAUCCCUAGCUGGUCUGAGAGGAUGAUCAGCCACACUGAGACUGCGACAGGGCCCAGACUCCUACGGAGGCAGCAGUGGGGAAUAGUGCGAAAUGGGCGCAAGCCUGAUGCAGCCAUGCCGCGUGUAUGAAGAAGGCCCUAGGGUUGGAGAGUACUUUCUGUCGGGAGGCGUUACCCACAGAAGAAGGCCCGGCUAACUCCGUGCCAGCAGCCGCAGGAAUUC